GAUGAACGCUGGCGGCGUGCUUAACACAUGCAAGUCGAACGGAAAGGCUCCUGCUUGCAGGGGUACUCGAGUGGCGAACGGGUGAGUAACACGUGGGUGAUCUGCCCUUCACUUCGGGAUAAGCCUGGGAAACUGGGUCUAAUACCGGAUAGGACGAUGGUUUGGAUGCCAUUGUGGAAAGUUUUUCGGUGUGGGAUGAGCUCGCGGCCUAUCAGCUUGUUGGUGGGGUAAUGGCCUACCAAGGCGUCGACGGGUAGCCGGCCUGAGAGGGUGUACGGCCACAUUGGGACUGAGAUACGGCCCAGACUCCUACGGGAGGCAGCAGUGGGGAAUAUUGCACAAUGGGCGCAAGCCUGAUGCAGCGACGCCGCGUGGGGGAUGACGGCCUUCGGGUUGUAAACUCCUUUCGCUAGGGACGAAGCGCAAGUGACGGUACCUGGAGAAGAAGCACCGGCUAACUACGUG
rnacentral:rRNA from 1 species